rnacentral:hammerhead_ribozyme from 1 species
AUCCAGCUAACAAGUCCCAAAUAGGAUGAAACGCGCGUUAAACUGCAU